rnacentral:rRNA from 1 species
AUACAUGCAGUCGAGCGGACCGACGGGAGCUUGCUCCCUUAGGUCAGCGGCGGACGGGUGAGUAACACGUGGGUAACCUGCCUGUAAGACUGGGAUAACUCCGGGAAACCGGGGCUAAUACCGGAUGCUUGAUUGAACCGCAUGGUUCAAUCAUAAAAGGUGGCUUUUAGCUACCACUUACAGAUGGACCCGCGGCGCAUUAGCUAGUUGGUGAGGUAACGGCUCACCAAGGCGACGAUGCGUAGCCGACCUGAGAGGGUGAUCGGCCACACUGGGACUGAGACACGGCCCAGACUCCUACGGGAGGCAGCAGUAGGGAAUCUUCCGCAAUGGACGAAAGUCUGACGGAGCAACGCCGCGUGAGUGAUGAAGGUUUUCGGAUCGUAAAACUCUGUUGUUAGGGAAGAACAAGUACCGUUCGAAUAGGGCGGCACCUUGACGGUACCUAACCAGAAAGCCACGGCUAACUACGUGCCAGCAGCCGCGGUAAUACGUAGGUGGCAAGCGUUGUCCGGAAUUAUUGGGCGUAAAGCGCGCGCAGGCGGUUUCUUAAGUCUGAUGUGAAAGCCCCCGGCUCAACCGGGGAGGGUCAUUGGAAACUGGGGAACUUGAGUGCAGAAGAAGAGAGUGGAAUUCCACGUGUAGCGGUGAAAUGCGUAGAGAUGUGGAGGAACACCAGUGGCGAAAGCGACUCUCUGGUCUGUAACUGACGCUGAGCCGCGAAAAGCA